AAGUCGUAACAAGGUUUCCGUAGGUUAACCUGCGGAAGCAUCAUUAACACGUAUCCAACGUUAAAAACCCCGUGAACCUCCAGCCCUAUUCUUGUGCGCCCGCUGGGACAGCAAUCCCUAGUAAAUCAUUGUUUCACAGAGUUUGAUUUAGGGACCUCUGUACGGAAGGACUAUCCUGGUGCAUUUUGAACGGUUAUCGUUUGGAAGUGACGAUAACGUGAAAUCUGUCAACGAGGUGAAUCCUAAACACGUUUGUUAGAUCCACACGACCGGCAACCGGGAUCCUAACCAACCCUCGCAAGAAUUUAGCGUGCACCUGACGGCCGUACGCACCCCCCAACUGAACAACUGUUAACAAUGGAUAUCUUGGUUCCC
rnacentral:misc_RNA from 1 species